GAUGAACGCUGGCGGCGUGCCUAAUACAUGCAAGUCGAGCGAACGGACGAGAAGCUUGCUUCUCUGAUGUUAGCGGCGGACGGGUGAGUAACACGUGGAUAACCUACCUAUAAGACUGGGAUAACUUCGGGAAACCGGAGCUAAUACCGGAUAAUAUUUUGAACCGCAUGGUUCAAAAGUAAAAGACGGUCUUGCUGUCACUUAUAGAUGGAUCCGCGCUGCAUUAGCUAGUUGGUAAGGUAACGGCUUACCAAGGCAACGAUGCAUAGCCGACCUGAGAGGGUGAUCGGCCACACUGGAACUGAGACACGGUCCAGACUCCUACGGGAGGCAGCAGUAGGGAAUCUUCCGCAAUGGGCGAAAGCCUGACGGAGCAACGCCGCGUGAGUGAUGAAGGUCUUCGGAUCGUAAAACUCUGUUAUUAGGGAAGAAUAUAUGUGUAAGUAACUGUGCGCAUCUUGACGGUACCUAAUCAGAAAGCCACGGCUAACUACGUGCCAGCAGCCGCGGUAAUACGUAGGUGGCAAGCGUUAUCCGGAAUUAUUGGGCGUNAAGCGCGCGUAGGCGGUUUUUUAAGUCUGAUGUGAAAGCCCACGGCUCAACCGUGGAGGGUCAUUGGAAACUGGAAAACUUGAGUGCAGAAGAGGAAAGUGGAAUUCCAUGUGUAGCGGUGAAAUGCGCAGAGAUAUGGAGGAACACCAGUGGCGAAGGCGACUUUCUGGUCUGUAACUGACGCUGAUGUGCGAAAGCGUGGGGAUCAAACAGGAUUAGAUACCCUGGUAGUCCACGCCGUAAACGAUGAGUGCUAAGUGUUAGGGGGUUUCCGCCCCUUAGUGCUGCAGCUAACGCAUUAAGCACUCCGCCUGGGGAGUACGACCGCAAGGUUGAAACUCAAAGGAAUUGACGGGGACCCGCACAAGCGGUGGAGCAUGUGGUUUAAUUCGAAGCAACGCGAAGAACCUUACCAAAUCUUGACAUCCUUUGACAACUCUAGAGAUAGAGCCUUCCCCUUCGGGGGACAAAGUGACAGGUGGUGCAUGGUUGUCGUCAGCUCGUGUCGUGAGAUGUUGGGUUAAGUCCCGCAACGAGCGCAACCCUUAAGCUUAGUUGCCAUCAUUAAGUUGGGCACUCUAAGUUGACUGCCGGUGACAAACCGGAGGAAGGUGGGGAUGACGUCAAAUCAUCAUGCCCCUUAUGAUUUGGGCUACACACGUGCUACAAUGGACAAUACAAAGGGCAGCGAAACCGCGAGGUCAAGCAAAUCCCAUAAAGUUGUUCUCAGUUCGGAUUGUAGUCUGCAACUCGACUACAUGAAGCUGGAAUCGCUAGUAAUCGUAGAUCAGCAUGCUACGGUGAAUACGUUCCCGGGUCU
rnacentral:rRNA from 1 species